AGGACGAACGCUGGCGGCGUGCUUAACACAUGCAAGUCGAGCGGAAAGGCCCUUCGGGGUACUCGAGCGGCGAACGGGUGAGUAACACGUGAGCAACCUGCCCUUAGCUUCGGGAUAGCUCCGGGAAACCGGAAUUAAUACCGAAUAUGACCAUGGCCGGAAUCGGCCAUGGUGGAAAGUUUUUCGGCUAGGGAUGGACUCGCGGCCUAUCAGCUAGUUGGUGAGGUAACGGCCCACCAAGGCGACGACGGGUAGCCGGCCUGAGAGGGCGACCGGCCACACUGGGACUGAGACACGGCCCAGACUCCUACGGGAGGCAGCAGUGGGGAAUAUUGCGCAAUGGGCGAAAGCCUGACGCAGCGACGCCGCGUGGGGGAUGGAAGGCCUUCGGGUUGUAACCCCUUUCAGCAGGGACGAAGCGAGAGUGACGGUACCUGCAGAAGAAGCGCCGGCUAACUACGCGCCAGCAGCCGC
rnacentral:rRNA from 1 species